CAAAGGAUGUGUUUAAUAUAAGUUUUCUAGUUACAUAUUUAAAAAGAAAUGACAAGAAUCGAAAGUAAUCAAAGAAAAACAAACAAGCCAACUAUGAACACAAAUUCUAAGGUAAAUAAUCACAACUCUUGACUUCCAUUUUCAAUUCCCAAGUCCAACUUUUACAUUAAGUAAGGUGCAGGAACAUGUACCUGGAAUAAUGGAAACAAAAAUGAGGUUCAGCAGAUGAAAAAGCAGCAACAACACAACAAUGGCAUUAGCCCAGAAAUAAACAAGGAAAAAGCCAGCUUUGAAGCAAUUUCGAACUAUCAGAAAUCUCAAAAAAUGUUUAGUAAUCAAAAGACAAUCAAAAAUUGAACCAAAAGAUCUUGAACAUCAACCAAAAUCAAGUCAUUUUUAACCAUGAUUAUCCAGAAAUGAUUUCAAAAAUGAGAGCUUCAAGGAUCAACCAAUUAUUCAAUGGAACAGUGUUCUUCUAGCUAUUUCUCAACCGUUUUGCUAUUUUUUGGACUUUUUAGCUCUUGAAAAUCUGAAUUGAGCCCCAAGUAACAAUGCCUUUAUAGGCAAGUUACUAGGGCAACCUUAAGGGUUUAUUUUUUGCCCUUUAGACCUUUUCCAAUUUUCAAAUUUUCUAUUUAGCUCCUGAUUUUCUGACUUAUUGAUUAAGUUAGCCUAUUUUCUGCUUUCUAGGAAGCUUCCUAAGGCAACUACGGAAAGAUUCUCCAGGUGGUCUACCCAUUUUACCCUAAUUAUCCCUAUAUUUUACCUUGAACCCCAAAUGAGUUAUGGGUCGAAUUGAAUCAAUGGUCGAGCCAUAAACCUGGGCUUUCUGACUAGAGAGAACCCC
rnacentral:lncRNA from 1 species